rnacentral:rRNA from 1 species
UCCGUAGGCGGGCAAUUAAGUCAGAGGUGAAAUCCUACAGCUCAACUGUGGAACUGCCUUUGAUACUGGUUGUCUUGAGUUAUAGUGAAGUAGAUAGAAUAUGUAGUGUAGCGGUGAAAUGCAUAGAUAUUACAUAGAAUGCCGAUUGCGAAGGCAGUCUACUAACUGUAUACUGACGCUAAUGGACGAAAGCGUGGGGAGCGAACAGGAUUAGAUACCCUGGUAGUCC